UUCCUGAAAAAACGGGGGGAUCUGAGGACCCCAAAUUUGGGGAGCUAGUCCAGAACCGUCCAGCCAACAUCCUAGAUUUUUUUGGGAUUUUUUGGGGCCCCCGGGACCCCUCUAGAUGGGGUGAGGAAUGUAGUGUUGGGGGAAUCUGACUGGGGCAUUGCAGCUGCCUCUCCCGCCGAGUUGGAGACGGAUGGGCUGGGACGGGUUUGGGGGGGGGUGUCCCCAAUUCUGACUGGGAGUGGAGGAGCCCCCUCAUGUGCUCUCUUGUGGGGGUCCCCCCUCCCUAGGGCACUCCCCACUCCCUGAGCCAGCCGAGAGGAAGGAGGCCAGCGAUGCGACUGGGGCGGCUCCUUUCUCCUGCACCCCAAAUGUGAGGGAUGCACCCCAAAUUUUGUUCCCUUCAAAAUAGGGGACCAGGAUCUCAGGGGAGAGUAGCUGAGGGUCCUCGUUUUCCUGAAGCCUUGCAGUCACUUAGGGCAAAUGGAGCCUGAAGAGUGGAGUCCAACUGAGAGUGGGAAAGGCCCGUCUUCUACUUCUCUUCUGGGAGAGAUGUAUGAAUGUGGAAGGCUACCAGUUCUCCAGGGACUUUGUUGCUAACAAAACUAGCAACAAAGUAGGAAAGAUGUUGAGCUGGAAGGGAGUUUGAGGAAGAUGGAACAAUGGGUAUGGAGGAAGAAAGCUGCCCACCCGCCCUUUCUCUGCCAGCCAACCCUCCCUCACACUGUCCGUUCCUUGAUGACACAGCUGAUGUGAUUAAGAUCGUCCCCAAAUCGCUUCACAGCAGCCCUCAGCAUCUCUAUCUCCGUCUCCGUCCACUUGGCACUGUCAGAAGGGGAGAAGGGAAUAGCGAAAGUGGGAGGAAGAGGGGUGUGGAGCCAGCCCACAGGCUACGCAUUCCACAGCAACCAGCCUCCUCCCCGCGAUGCCUGGGGCCCCUUGCAUAAAGAGGUCCUCCUUAAAAAAACAAAAACAAAAGCAAAAAAGAAAAUUUUUAAGGCGCCGUGGGAACCCUGCGGACCCCCAACCACACGAUAUUGAAACAACCGCCACCUUAGAAGAAAACUUCUCCCCCAUCAACGUGAAACAGCUGCUUAUGUAAACAGCCCACUGAAACCCAUCCAACAAGUGGGGGUCUUACAGACAGAGCCUCUAAACACAGUCUGCUGCAGUCUGACAGAAUUCCACAUGAUUUGGGGGGUGGUGUGGUGUGGGUAGUGGUGGCGGUCUAUGGUCUACCAGUUCGCAGCAGGGCAGGGCUGUGAAAUGAGUCCGGAUUAUGAGCCUCGGUCUGUGGUUUAUCUGUCAUUCAUUCAUUCAACAAUCAUUUAUUAACACCUACUCUGCGCUGUGCCAGGCACAAAGGGAAACUAACAUCUGUCCCUGCCCUAGAGAGUGUCGGUGUCUGUGAUCGAGACCCAGCGUCCGCUCUCAGCGUCCAUCUCCCAGCCCGGGCUCACGUACCCCGCGGGGGAAGAGUCGGCCACGGGAUGCAGCUGCAUGGUCAGCUCCCCGAGCUUCGUGAAGGCGGCGCCCGCCGCGGAGAAGAUCUCUCCGACCUGGGGGGCGGGGCAGCAUUACGGGGGGCCGGCGCACAGUGCCGCGCCGGACCGCCCGGAGCCCCUAGCCCCACCCCAGGCUGGACUCCCGCCCGCCCCUCGCCCGGGAUGGAAGAGCCGGGAGCCAACUUGGGGGCCCCGCCCUCCCGUGGCCGCCAGGGAGCGCUGUCCGCGAGGGAGGUCGAACCUUUGUAGACGCUGACGUCAUGGCCCCGCGCGCCUCCUCACGGAGACGUUGCUGCCGCCGCUACCUCGGAGCCGGGACCACGGAGAGCAGGGCGAUCGAACGGCUCCAGCCCCCGCGCAGGAAGUCCCGCCCCUUCCCGCAGCUGAUUGGCUCCAGCUCGGCCGCUCACCGCCUGACCGCCUCGGCGCGCGGGAAGGAGAGUGGAAGACACCGCCUCGCUUCCGGCCCGGCUUCACUCCACUUCCGUCGAGGGGUCGGGACUCCCUAUUUGGAGUCCGAGCUCCAGCCCGGAUGCCUGCCCCGCAACCCAUGCACACACACGAGGCUUAAGAGAGCAGUUUCUCUUUAUUGUGUAACGAGACAAGGCGAGGGGGCCGGAGGGACAGGGAACGGCCAGCCCCGACCUCCCUCCACUGGAGCCGGGCGCCAGAGGUUGAAGAACAAGGGAUUCAGUCUAUCGCCAGGGAAACCCAGUCCGCAGAGGGCGCCAGACUGGGGGUGGGGGGGUGUGACUGGGUGGGGAGAGUCUUUAAAUAGAGGAGGGGGCUGGAGAGGGGGAACGCGACGGUGCUCUAGCGCACCAUGUAUUCCUUGCGCUUAUUGAGCCGAACUUGGCAGAAAGAGAAGCCUCCGAGGAGGAGGUAAAGGCCCGCGGCGAUGAAACAGUUGUAGCUGACUUGCUCGUAAAGGUUGUAUAUGUUCUGGGGGCCAUUCCUAGGGGUGGGGAUUAGGCAGAGAAAUAUCGGAAACAUUAUUAACAGCAGCCAACAUUUACAGAGCACUUACUAUGUGCCGGGUAACCGUUCUAAACGCUUUUACGUGUAUUAUCUUAAUCUUCAUAACCCUAUGGGGUGAGUUCUGUUAUAGCAUACACUUUGCAUAGGUGGAGGAGGCACAGAGAAAUCAAGGAAAAUACCUAAAGAAGCCACACCUAAAGCGAUGGGUUUAGGAUGGCCGCUGAGGUCUGACUCCCAAGACUGCUCCUGUGCGCGCUAAACAGAGCAGCCAGUUCCCUAGCCUCUGGGCCCCAAGCAUCCAGCCUCCUGCAAUUCCCCGCCCAUAAUUCUGACCACUUCCCCCGCCUCUCCACUUACUCAAAAUCUUUCUCCGUUAAGGGAACGUCUUCAAUUAGCACAGCGGAAUGGACAUUGAAAAAGAUUCCGAGCAUUAUCUGCAAAAAGGGAAAGGGUAGGUUGUUGAACUCAGGCACCUGACCUGGUCACUGCCUGAACUCCUCCCACUUCGAAUGUUGCCACAACAUCUGGGUAUGGGAAUUACCAGAAUGAGCUGGGAUUAGGGAUGCCUGUUGCCGGAUUUGGACUCCAGUCACCCGGAACAGGGCAUGAAUGGUGACAUAGAGAAGACUUGGCUGGGGCAAGGGUUAGGAAUAAUGAGCAACCAGGAACCAGAUUUUCAUCCUCUCCAGAGGCGUCAUUAUCACGGGACAGGGAGGAGGGGGUCAAAGGGAAUCGGCACUUCUCCAUAUUACUUUUUCCUGAAGUGGGUCGGGUAGAGUCCUCGGGAAACAAGGCCCAGCUAUCCAUUUCGGGAACAAGCUCUCCCUUUCCCCACUGCCCUCCAUUCAGCUCAAGGAUCUCUCAAGAACGUAGCUCUUCUUCCUCCUACCUUGAGGGUACUCCAAAUUGACCAGCCCCCGGGCCCAUUCCAAGCUUCA